AACGAACGCUGGCGGCAGGCCUAACACAUGCAAGUCGAGCGAGACCUUCGGGUCUAGCGGCGGACGGGUGAGUAACGCGUGGGAAUAUGCCCUUUGGUACGGAAUAGCCUCGGGAAACUGAGAGUAAUACCGUAUGUGCCCUUCGGGGGAAAGAUUUAUCGCCAAAGGAUUAGCCCGCGUUGGAUUAGGUAGUUGGUGGGGUAAUGGCCUACCAAGCCUACGAUCCAUAGCUGGUUUGAGGGAUGAUCAGCCACACUGGGACUGAGACACGGCCCAGACUCCUACGGGAGGCAGCGGUGGGGAAUCUUAGACAAUGGGGGGAACCCUGAUCUAGCCAUGCCGCGUGAGUGAUGAAGGCCUUAGGGUUGUAAAGCUCUUUCAGCUGGGAAGAUAAUGACGGUACCAGCAGAAGAAGCCCCGGCUAACUCCGUGCCAGCCGCCGCCGUAACAC
rnacentral:rRNA from 1 species